rnacentral:lncRNA from 1 species
GAAGAGACAGCGCCGCCGGCCGUGGGGAGCGGACGCAGUGAUUUGCUCCCCCUCGUGCAGCAACCCCCACACCCAGCACCAGGAGCCUGUUCCUCUCACGCCCUCACCUGGCUGAGCCGCAGUAGUUCUUCAGUGGCAAGCUUUAUGUCCUGACCCAGCUAAAGCUGCCAGUUGAAGAACUGUUGCCCUCUGCCCCUGGCUUCGAGGAGGAGGAGGAGCUGCUUUCCCCAUCAUCUGGAAGGUGACAGAAAUGGGCUGGGAAGGUCCGGACAGCAGGGUGGAUGAUAACAUUUUGGGCAAGUUGGAGAGCCUUUGCCCAGAUUGGCCCGGCAAGGAGCGGUUUUAGAUUAGAGACACUGGCUGGAUUGAGGAGUAGAAGGCUCAAACAACCCAAGGCUUUCUGCCUCCGAGAUGUGGCACCAUAGUGCGGUGCCCUGUGGCUUCACCGCCCUACUUCCACCUCCGCCCAGCCUGUAAUGUUUAUAUAAGCAGCCUCAAGGACCAAGAACCAUCUGCGAAAGGACAC